GGCCUCGUAGCUCAACUCGUAGAGUGUGCGUUUUACAAAAGCGUAGGCGGCGUCCAUGCGUGGGUUCGAAUCCCACCAAGGCUA
rnacentral:tRNA from 1 species